rnacentral:lncRNA from 1 species
AGAUUAAAUUAAAUUUAGUAUCAAAUGUCAAAUAUGAAUUUAAAAUUUUGUUAAACAAAGGUCAUCAACCUUGUUGACUACAAGUACCAACUUAACUAUCUUAGGAAUAAGAAUUCUCCACUUUUAAUAUUAUGCUGUUAUAUUUCAUGAAGUUUCCAUUAGAAUGCACCAAGUACUUAGCUAUAGAAGGUAAUAUAGAACUUGUAACAAGAAGUUCCUAACAACUCUAUUAGAAUCCUAAAUAAAUUCUAAUUAAAGUAUAAUAAUGCUAAUCAAUCUUUACUUAAAUUUUAAAAGAGGUUUUUAGAAUUUAUUAAAAAAAUAUAAAAAUCAUAAAUUAAUCUUAAAUAAAUAUAUAUAAUAGUAAAAUAUUAAAUAAAUAUAAGAAAUAAAAAUCCUAAUUGAAUUCUAAGAAAAUCUUAAUGUAAUCUUCAACAAAUCCUAAAGAAAUCCUAAACUAAUCUCAACCAAAUCCUAAACCGAAUCUUAAUUGAAUCCUAAUGAAGUCUUAAUUAAAUAUUAAUAGAAUAUUUAUAAAGCCCUAAUCAAAUCCUAAUCAAAUUUUAAUGAAGUCUUAAAUCAACUAUAACCACGCCCUAAAUAAAUCCUAAAUCCUAACCAAAUGCUAAUGAAUUUAUAAACCAAUCUACACCAAAUCCUAAACAAAUCCUAAUAAAAUCCUAAAUCAAUUCUAAUUAAAUCUUAAAUAAAUCCUAAUGAAAUUCUAAACAUGUUCUAAUAAAUUUUUAAACCAAAUCUUAAUAAAACCUUAUUAAAAUCCUAAUUAAAUUCUAAUUAAAUCCUAUUCAAAUUCUAUUCAAAUUCUAACCAAAUCCUAAUAAAGCCAUAAAUUAACUCAAACCAAGCUCUAAAAAAAUUCUAAAUAAAAUCCUAAUGAAAUCUUAAUCAAACCUUAAUCAAAUAUUAAAUUAAAUUAUAAUAAAAUCUUAAUAAAAUCUUAAUAAAAUAUUAAACUAAAUUAUAAUCAAAUCCUAAUCAAACUUUAGGCCAAAUCCUAAUAAAACUCUAAUGAAU